rnacentral:tRNA from 1 species
CGCGGGGUGGCGCAGUGGUUAGCGCUGUCCGCUCAUAACGGAUAGGUCGCAGGUUCGAGUCCUGCCCUCGCGA